rnacentral:tRNA from 1 species
CGUCCCGUCGCCCAGCGGCAAGGGCACCCGCCUUACAAGCGGACAGGCGCAGGUUCGAGUCCUGCCGGGACGA